UUACUAAUAGGUUAGUUAAACUGGCAGAUUGUGGUUUUGUUGAAUACUGGUUUGUAUUAGUAAU
rnacentral:tRNA from 1 species